CGCCACAAAGCGGUGGAGCAUGUGGUUUAAUUCGAAGCAACGCGAAGAACCUUACCAGGUCUUGACAUCCUUUGACCACUCUAGAGAUAGAGCUUUCCCUUCGGGGACAAAGUGACAGGUGGUGCAUGGUUGUCGUCAGCUCGUGUCGUGAGAUGUUGGGUUAAGUCCCGCAACGAGCGCAACCCUUAUUGUUAGUUGCCAUCAUUUAGUUGGGCACUCUAGCGAGACUGCCGGUGACAAACCGGAGGAAGGUGGGGAUGACGUCAAAUCAUCAUGCCCCUUAUGACCUGGGCUACACACGUGCUACAAUGGGAAGUACAACGAGUUGCGAAGUCGCGAGGCUAAGCAAAUCUCUUAAAGCUUCUCUCAGUUCGGAUUGUAGGCUGCAACUCGCCUACAUGAAGCCGGAAUCGCUAGUAAUCGCGGAUCAGCACGCCGCG
rnacentral:rRNA from 2 species